GAUGAACGCUGGCGGCGUGCCUAAUACAUGCAAGUCGAGCGAACAGAUGAGAAGCUUGCUCCUCUGACGUUAGCGGCGGAUGGGUGAGUAACACGUGGAUAACCUACCUAUAAGACUGGGAUAACUUCGGGAAACCGGAGCUAAUACCGGAUAAUAUAUUGAACCGCAUGGUUCAAUAGUGAAAGACGGUUUUGCUGUCACUUAUAGAUGGAUCCGCGCCGCAUUAGCUAGUUGGUAAGGUAACGGCUUACCAAGGCAACGAUGCGUAGCCGACCUGAGAGGGUGAUCGGCCACACUGGAACUGAGACACGGUCCAGACUCCUACGGGAGGCAGCAGUAGGGAAUCUUCCGCAAUGGGCGAAAGCCUGACGGAGCAACGCCGCGUGAGUGAUGAAGGUCUUCGGAUCGUAAAACUCUGUUAUUAGGGAAGAACAAAUGUGUAAGUAACUAUGCACGUCUUGACGGUACCUAAUCAGAAAGCCACGGCUAACUACGUG
rnacentral:rRNA from 1 species